UAAACAAAGACAAAAACAAGCAAAUGAACAAAACUUGAAGGCCUGAUACCUCAGAUUGCUAAGGAAGUAUGACUAACAUAUUCCAACAUAAGACAUGGCCCAUUAUAGCUACAUGAGGAAAUUGCCUACUGCGUGGGAGUAUGUAACAUGUAACCUCCCUCACUGAACAUCAGUUUAUCAUCUUCUAGAAGUCAGUGCCAGGCUCAGGGGGGCCUGGAGCCAAGGACCCUGGGAAUGACACUGCGGGAGUGACCUUGGAUAAAUCAUUCUUCUAUUCAGGCCUCUAGGCCCUUGUGUGUCAAAUAGCCAGGCUGAUUAAUCCCCAAAGCCCCUGCGAGCUUUGAUGUGCUGUGACUCUGUGACGGUCUAUGAAUGUGUCAUGACUCCCGGCUGCUCUAAGGCAGCAGGGAAACAGUCACACAGAUAACAGCUUGGGCUCCCGGCCUGGCUGGCACCGCUGGGGCUCCCACCAUGCAUCACUGAGCAAGAAACACAUUUGUCAUGAACGUUGUGAUGCAGCUCUCUGAACCCCAACCCAGAACCAAGGACCUCAUUCCUGCCGCUCAGGACCAGGAUCAGGACCUGGAUCAGGACCUGGAUCAUAGCUGAGUCUCUUCCCAGCCAUUGCCCUAGGCUGGAGGGAGCUGCCUUACCCAAGGCAACAUGUCCAUUCUAGGGACAGUUCCCAUUUGAUGACAAGUUGAUGUGUGGGCACAAAGGUCUUGCCUCAGUCCAGGACAAUUGUGAACGGUCGUGCCAGCUCCAGACCAACAGCAUUGUGUUCAACCUCUCCUGCUACCCAACCCUGCCUUCCUCACACUCUCGCAUUCCCGGGAUACUGUCUGCUCACAAAACUCCCUCUCACAGGACAACAUGUAUAAAACCAUAGCUGGCUGUGGCUUCCCCAAUCCGUUGCCAUAUUUCCUAAGUAAGAACCGAUUUCUCACCAAAGCCUUUUAUUAGAUUUGCUUUUUGUACUUGAAGUAGAGAGACAAACCGUAUCCCAAUAAAGGACUCUUGGCGCACCUAAAAGAAUGGUGGGU